GGAGCNUGUGGUUUAAUUCGAAGCAACGCGAAGAACCUUACCAGGUCUUGACAUCCUUUGACCACUCUAGAGAUAGAGCUUUCCCUUCGGGGACAAAGUGACAGGUGGUGCAUGGUUGUCGUCAGCUCGUGUCGUGAGAUGUUGGGUUAAGUCCCGCAACGAGCGCAACCCUUAUUACUAGUUGCCAGCAUUUAGUUGGGCACUCUAGUGAGACUGCCGGUGACAAACCGGAGGAAGGUGGGGAUGACGUCAAAUCAUCAUGCCCCUUAUGACCUGGGCUACACACGUGCUACAAUGGAUGGUACAACGAGUCGCAAGGUCGCGAGGCCAAGCUAAUCUCUUAAAGCCAUUCUCAGUUCGGAUUGUAGGCUGCAACUCGCCUACAGAAGCCGGAANCGC
rnacentral:rRNA from 1 species